UACGUAGGGUGUAAGCGUUAAUCGGAAUUACUGGGCGUAAAGCGUGCGCAGGCGGUUCGCUAAGACCGGUGUGAAAUCCCCGGGCUUAACCUGGGAACUGCAUUGGUGACUGGCGGGCUAGAGUGUGGCAGAGGGGGGUAGAAUUCCACGUGUAGCAGUGAAAUGCGUAGAGAUGUGGAGGAAUACCGAUGGCGAAGGCAGCCCCCUGGGCUAACACUGACGCUCAUGCACGAAAGCGUGGGGAGCAAACAGG
rnacentral:rRNA from 1 species